rnacentral:lncRNA from 1 species
GUGGAGUGGGCGGGGUGUGAGUGCAUAACCCGAACUAGUAAGACAUGAACCGUCUCCAGCUUUCUGCUUUCCCCGCCAUGUAGUUUAAAGCUUCCCGUCUCCAGCACCUGGGCACAAACCCCACUCCCCCCCUCUGGGUCACAAUAAAGGCAAGAGCCUGGGACCCAUAUUGUCUUUCUCCCUCCCCUUUUCCCCCACCCCUCCAAGGGCUUUCUCAGGAGUUAGGUAAGCCCUGGCCUCUCUCUUCCCUCUCCUCCUCCAGGCCGAUUGAGUUAAUAAAACUGCCCUUUCAUGCAACUCCGCUGUCUGCUGUGUUGUGUCUCAUCACCCGAAGAACUUCCACAUUCCAUCCAGAACAGUGAGGCUGUCUUUAUCUUCUCUGAACUCUGGUUCUCUAGUAGAGGAAACCUGAGGAGUACUGGCAGUUUUAAAAUCAUGGCCCAGGUA